AUACUGACCUGGCAGGAGAGAUACCAUGAUCAUGAAGGUGGUUUUCCCAGGGUGAGGCUCAUCUAUUGCACUCCGGGGGUGCUGACCCCUGCGAUUUCCCCAAAUGUGGGAAACUCAACUGCAUACUAUUUGACCGUUGUGAUUGACAGUGGCUCUCCAG